CUGAGCCCGGCGGCCUGUGGGACUUUAGCAAAUGCCAAAGCGCUCGCCGCGGGCGCCGAGAUGCCUGGCCUUAAUGUAAAGAGGCUGGUGAAACCUCGUUAGCGAGAAGAGCAGGCUGCUGGCGAAGUCACGACGUGCUGCAAAUGGCCUCAGCGAGCCUGGGCUCUGGAAUCUGGGCGUCGGGACAAUUGAUCUCUGUAAUCAAGACCCCGGGGGUCUCGGCCUUCUGUUUCCUGUCUCAUUCCUGACUGUUCCAGGGGCGGGGACAGAUGGGGAACAAGGGGAGGCAGAGAGCAGGGACUGUUUUCCUACCAGAAACACAUUUGCAGUCGUCCUAGAAGGAGAAAUUCAUUAACAGUGGGGUUCGAGGAAAGAAUGACAACUUGGUUCUCACAUUUGGAUGUGAUCCGUUCACUUCGCUUUUUAGGCUGCCACCACCAUCUCUCACGUGCUUUGUCGCCAUCGUUCUGACUGCUUUCCUGCUCCAAGAUUUGCCCAUUCCUGUCGGGCCCACCGUAGCUCAGAGUGACUGCUGCUAAAUGCUCGGGACAUGCCGCUACAUUAAACUCAAGGGAUUUCCCAUUACCCUCAGAUGCAGGCCUAACACUGAACUUGGCAUUCACGGCCAUGAGGCUCUGGCCUCUGAUUACUGCCCCAGCCCCGUCUCUAGACACCUUCCACUCCCUUUCCUCAGUUAAGGGUUUGUGAGAUGAAUACGUGGAUCAAUGAGUUAAUUCUAGAAUUAUCAGCAAUAUUAUCAGAAUAGAAGAAGUCCUCCAUAAUCUGACGAUGGAUUCUCAGUAAUCGCCUCAGAUGGGAAGUCAGCUCCGCCCUGGAGUCCAGGAAACCUUAAAGGCUAGUUGUUGCUGCUGAUUUUACUGUGUAAUCUAUCACAGGUUGCUUCCAGUCUCUGUUCCUUUAUUCAUAAUUUAGAGCUGGCCAUUGCUGCUCUUGGAGAUAAGCUGACCCCUGUAUUGGGCAGUGCAGUUGGGCCAGCUCUGCCAGGCCCAGUGACAGUGACAUGCCCACAUCAGCCUGUCCACACCUCCUCCUCAGCCAGAAGCCACAGGACACGGAGGAGUGUUGCAGAUUCCAGCGUUACGUUCUAAUGCUUCCUGAAGUCCAGGGUCCAGAACUAAUGCUUCCUGAAGUCCAGGGUUCAUCUGCAUGCCUCAGGGAUGAGCAGAAAGGGGCUUCCCUGGUGGCACAGUGGUUGAGAAUCUGCCUGCCAAUGCAGGGGACACGGGUUCGAGCCCUGGUCUGGGAAGAUCCCACAUGCCACGGAGCAACUAGGCCCGUGAGCCACAACUACUGAGCCUGCGCGUCUGGAGCCUGUGCUCUGCAACGGGAGAGGCCGCGAUAGUGAGAGGCCCGCGCACCACGAUGAAGAGUGGCCCCCGCUUGCCGCAACUGGAGAAACCCCUCGCAC